AGUGAACGCUGGCGGUAGGCCUAACACAUGCAAGUCGAACGGCAGCACAGUAAGAGCUUGCUCUUACGGGUGGCGAGUGGCGGACGGGUGAGGAAUACAUCGGAAUCUACUUUUUCGUGGGGGAUAACGUAGGGAAACUUACGCUAAUACCGCAUACGACCUACGGGUGAAAGAAGGGGAUCUUCGGACCUUGCGCGAUUGAAUGAGCCGAUGUCGGAUUAGCUAGUUGGCGGGGUAAAGGCCCACCAAGGCGACGAUCCGUAGCUGGUCUGAGAGGAUGAUCAGCCACACUGGAACUGAGACACGGUCCAGACUCCUACGGGAGGCAGCAGUGGGGAAUAUUGGACAAUGGGCGCAAGCCUGAUCCAGCCAUACCGCGUGGGUGAAGAAGCCCUUCGGGUUUUAAAGCCCUUUUGUUGGGAAAGAAAAGCAGCAGGUUAAUACCCCGCUGUUCUGACGGUACCCAAAGAAUAAGCACCGGCUAACUUCGUG
rnacentral:rRNA from 1 species